rnacentral:lncRNA from 1 species
GGAAAAAAUCUUAAAUAUAAUUAAUAAUAUAUUAAUGAGUAAACAAAAAACAAUAUGUAUCGUAUAGUAUCCCGGGGACCUAGGCAUCACUAGGCCGAUCAUCUGGGUCAUCAGGCUGAUCAUCCAGGCCGACCAUUCAGAUCACCAGGCCUACCAUCUGGGUCUACCACCAGGUCGACCAUCCGGGUCACCAGGUCGAUCAUCCGGGUCAUCAGGCCGAUCAUCCAGGUCGACCAUUCGGGUCACCAGGCCGACCAUCUGGGUCGACUAACCAUCAGGCCGAUCAUCUAGGCCGACCACUAGGCCGACCAUCCGAGUCACCAGGUCGAUCUUCCAGGUCAACCAACCACCAGACCGAUCUUCUAGGUCGACAACCACCAGGCCGAUCAUCCAGGCCGACCAACUACCAAGGCGACCAUCUGGGUCGACGAACCAGCAGGUCGACCACAUGGAUAUAUUAUAAACGAUAAUAGUUCAUUAAAGCCCCUAAUGGAGGUUAAGGUGUGAUUGGGUCGUCAUCAGACCCACGAAAGGUAAAAGCCCAUUACAACUAGUAUAAAUAAAGGUCUCAGGUAUGAUUUUGGACCACGAUAUAUAUUAUGCACACUAUAUGCAUUCCUUAUAUUGACGACCGUUCGGUCACUUUUACUGACUUUAGCGUCGGAGUGCCUUUGGUAGGUACCCGCCCCCGCCUGGCUUGGAGAAGAAGGAAGGAGAUAGAACGAACAACCUUGAGUUUGAAGAGGACCAUGAUGAUCGUUCGACCUCCAGCAAGUCCCCGUCAGGAAUGUUAUAAGGGACCUCCAAACCCGACCGAAACACAAUAUAAACCUUGUUCUUCCAUUUUCAUGUUGUUUAUCUUGGCACGUUUAAGGAUCUGGAUGAUGACCUUCUCCCCAGUCAAUACAGUUCUGCAAUUUUUAUCUUGCCCGACAUGGAUACAAAGCCAUCUGUUUUUUCAAAUUUAUAAUUUUUCAAAAACAUGUCCAUGCCUGCAACACUAUCUUCUUCUGUUCCUCCAUCCAUUUCUGAAAUCUACAAGAAAAAAUAUUGAAGAAACAAAGCAAAAUAUAGUAUUUGAUCAAAUUAACAUUCACUUACAGUGAUUGAGAGAGACCAAUAAAUAAAAUUUGUGAUAAGAAUCAUAGAAAGAGAAAGAAUUGAAAAUGGAAGAGAAAGUCUCACCAGGGUGUUAAUGGAGGUUGGAACUUUGGAAAUGACGAACCUAAGAUUAAGG